UAGGGAAUCUUCGGCAAUGGACGGAAGUCUGACCGAGCAACGCCGCGUGAGUGAAGAAGGUUUUCGGAUCGUAAAGCUCUGUUGUUAGAGAAGAACGUUGGUAGGGGUGGAAAAUCUACCAAGUGACGGUAACUAACCAGAAAGGGACGGCUAACUACGUGCCAGCAGCCGCGGUAAUACGUAGGUCCCGAGCGUUGUCCGGAUUUAUUGGGCGUAAAGCGAGCGCAGGCGGUUCUUUAAGUCUGAAGUUAAAGGCAGUGGCUUAACCAUUGUACGCUUUGGAAACUGGAGGACUUGAGUGCAGAAGGGGAGAGUGGAAUUCCAUAUGUAGCGGUGAAAUGCGUAGAUAUAUGGAGGAACACCGGUGGCGAAAGCGGCUCUCUGGUCUGUAACUGACGCUGAGGCUCGAAAGCGUGGGGAGCAAACAGG
rnacentral:rRNA from 1 species